rnacentral:snRNA from 1 species
AGCUUUGCACAGUAUGAGCAUUGUAACCAGUGAGGUUUAUCCCAGGUGUGAUUACUGCUAAUUGAAAGCACAGUGAGCAUCAAGAGGUCCUUAUGAAGUGUUUAGUCUACCUUGAUCAUAUAUAGACGUCUUUCAUGA